GUAAGAAAUUCCAGCCCCACUCUAGACCCAAAACUCCUUGGAAUUAAAUGUGGCAAUGGAAACCAGUUCAUUACAUGUGCAAUAAAUAACAAUAAUACAAAAAGGAGGCAAGGAAAAGGACACCCGAUUAAGUGCCUGUGUUAACCUGAAAAUAAAAAAAAGCAAAAUCUAAGAAAUUUGUUUGCAACAAAUGGGGGAGAAAAGAAAAGGAGAGAGAGACAAGACUAAAAUAAAAUCCAGUCGCUUGUAUUUUGGGUGCAUUAGUGUAUGUUCUGAGAUUCCCUGGUCACCCUCAGGACCAGAAGGCAUUUAGUGACCUGAGGAACUGACUGGAAAAAAUGAUAGCAAAAAGAAUAUUAAAAAAUUAAAAAUGGAGUUCUACACUGAAACCUGGAACCAUCUGAGAACCGUAUAUUGCACAUUUUCCUUGCAAAUACAAUAACCACAUUGCCAGAUUCACACUAUUCCUUUUUUGUUUUUUUUUUUUUGCUUUUUUGUUUUUCGCACUUGACCUAGAAACGCAACCUAUGCAUUUGUUAUACAUGGACAGAGCAUUGCGCAGACAUUAACACACUUGGAUUAAUACAAAAAAAGAGGGGUGUUCAAUUGCAAAGUCAUAAUUUAAGCCGUUUUCUGGACGAGUCAGGUAGAUUUCACACAAAAAAGAAAGAGGUGAAAGUAAAAGGUUAGAAGAGGAGAGGAAAUCUUUGAAGAAAACUGCUGCAGAAGUCACUUUUUCAGCAUAAAUAAUACAAAACUGGACAGAUUUAAACUGAUGACACCUGCUAUGGCUCAUGGGAGCAUGAAACUGUUAGAUUUGGUAGCUGUUGACCGAUUUCCCAACUUACAUGGCAAUUACUGAAGCCAAAAGGUUCAAUCUAGCACUCGCACACAAAUGUCAAGAGGUGUCAUCUUUGAAAACAAUCCAUAAUUCGACCAGUCGUUUGCUCUUCAAACUGCACCACCCAUGGCGACACGAUUCAGCACAUUCAAGCCCUUUUCAGAACUUUUCAGAGCGGGCAGCCACUCCGGCCAAACAAUCGUUUUUUGGGGUGUUUUCCUACAUGUUGCCGUUUCAGUAACCCUCGAGGUCUCCCUCUCCGUCGCACACGAAGCCUGCCUGUGAGAUUACCGAGCUUUACAGAGAACUCAGAAAUGAGGGAGAACAAGCGAGCUGGGCAACAAAGAAAGCUACCGCACUCCCAGAGUGGACGCUUAUUACAGUGAAGAAAACACACAAGAGCCAUUUUAAGUUGCCAGGAAUGAUUCCGCUGCCAACAACAGGCUUGAAAAUAAAAGCUGAAAUGGAUGGCGCCGCCUUCAGAGAGCAAGCUUCUGAGACAUUUCCGAGCUCAGAAAGCGUGCAAAGCAGCACAAAUGAAUUGUUUGCUCAUCUUCACGUCGUGGUGGGAGAGUAAACUCCGAUGUGCUCGCGCUGACAGUCGGCGUGAAGCUGCCGAACCACCUCCAAUCCAAAUUUCACGCAACUCCCCCCGAGCUCCACUCGGAUCCUCGCAGGAGAUAACAAACGGGCUGACAGGAGGUCAAGGUCGAAGCAGAGACGAUGAAGCUCUGACAGAUGGCGGCCUCGCUUCCUGCCGGAGACCGUUUGGAGUCGAUGCCCUCACCUAUCUGCAGCGAGGCACGCUCAGGCCUCCUGUAAGCCUCUUAGCUUGGCUGUCAAGCAUAGCAGCGCUGACAUCUCAAUGUGGAAUCCACACGCCGGCGGUGAGGAGGUCGAAGCUCCCGAGAGCUCCGUAGAAAUUUGGGGACAUUAAAACAAAAUCAGCUCUGCGUGAUUUUAAAUUUCAUGCAUGUUCUCGUCUUGCGGAGCCAAUUAUCUGUUAGAGAUUGAAGUGUCAAUCUGACUCAGAGGCGCAAACAUCUCACCAGAGAAGCCUAUAAUAAGUAGCAAGCCUAGGCAAGAGGGUAGAGCCAAAAAAUCAAUGGAAAAGGGAAAAAACAGCACCUUCGUUACCAGCACAGCGAGACACCUCUGACAAGAGAAGACACCCAAGGACUCGAGCAGGUACAGAGAGGAGACGUGUGGGGAAAAAAGGCGGGAGGAGAACAUCGCAGCACAGCGUCUUUCUGUCUCUGACUGAAUCUCUCUUGAAGAAGUUUGAAACGAGGAGUUGUUAGCACCAUAGAAAGCACCGGCGGCAGAGACGAUGUCUGACCGUCACUGUGGCGAAGACCUGACCCUUCAAUGGGUUCAUCGCUCGCUUGUUUGAAAAAUACUCGACAAAUACACGAGGAGUUAGUGAAAGGUUUUGUUCACACUGUAGAACUUUACGAUGCAUGAAAACUGGAAUCUGCUGGUUGUAAAAUAGACACUGAAGUUCCAUCAAGUCAAAAAGUGUUGCUUCUGUUCUGUUGCCUUUCGAGUGAAAUUCGAACUACGCUUUUGUAGUGGGCCUCAUCACAUUAUUUCGGACGAAAAAAAUGCAUUACCAGGCAGUUUGUUUCGGCAUCUGCAACAAAUCACAGUGGGGUUUUCCAGCUAAACUGCUAUUCAUAGCAAUUCUGGAACAGCUGAUCAGCUCAAGAUGAUGGACAUCUGGCAACCAAUGAGAAAUAAAAUUGGAACAUGUCAUGAGCAGAAUGAACACAACCAUGCAGACCAAAAGGCGACUAAACCUGCACAGAUGUAGCCUUUGUUUCAACGUCAGACCUUCUCCACGGUACAGAGCAGCCAUGCAGUGUUUUACAUUGUACAGAAAUGUGGUAACCUUUCUUCUGGGGUAGUUACAGUAGCACCGUGUGUUUGGGGGUGUGUUUUUUAACAGCUUAAUCACCUGAAGGAAAAAGCUGACGUACAGUAAAGAGAUAUCAUCAUAAAACAGACACUUAAACAUGACGAGGACUCCGGUUGGAUGAAGCCGAGGCUGAAAAUUGAACUGACUGCAAAGCAACACGACUGACUGUAACCUAGAACUGCAAACCAGGUCACUGCGAUGAGAAUCACCGGUCGAAUUUCUAUGUAUUCAUGUGUUUAACCCUCAGAAAUACCAAGUCUUACAAAGACAUAACAGCACACAACAGUUACAGGAUUUUCACCAAUUACAAACACAAUACUCGCCUAUGAGCUGGCGAGAUGGUUGAGGGCUCAUUGUUUUUGGUUUUAAAUCAUUUUUUACCAGUAGAUCAUCUUUCAAAAUGGAAAUUUCCAAUUUUACGCAGGCCGAUUACAAUGUUCAGUGUUUAAAGCAAUAAUAAUAAAGGGAAAAGUGGGAACAAGGCUAGAAGUU
ensembl:lncRNA